UCCCAGCAGUGAGGAGGAAACGUGGUGAUGAGCUGAGGACGGCUGCAGCUGACUGACUCUGUUUGCAUGUGUUUCCUGCCUCUGUGCUCCGAGCCGUUAAGAGGCCGGCGUUGAUCAGAGGCCUUUCAGAGCACCAUGAUGAUGAUGAUGUCACUGACUCUGCUGCUGGCCACCCUGGGGCUCCUCAUUCAGGGUUCAUCAGGACAAAACAUCCUGACUCAGUCUGCUGCAGCUCGGCCUGUUGCUGCAGGACAGACCGUCUCCAUCACAUGUAGAUCCAGUUCAAGUGUUAAUAUGGAUGGUUACAAAUGGCUUCACUGGUACCUUCAGAAACCUGGAGAAGCUCCUAAACUCCUGAUCUAUAAAGCCACAGGUCGCCAGGGUGGAGUUUCAGAUCGUUUUAGUGGAAGAGGAUCUGACACUGAGUUGACUCUGACCAUCACAGGAGUUCAGGCUGAAGAUGCAGGAGUUUAUUACUGUCAGACCCAUCAGUGGGUGCACGGUAUUCUGUACUAUAUGCUGCACAAGAAGAGAAGAACCUGUAAUUUCAUUAUAUUUGACAUAUACUGACAAUAAAGC